GUGAGGAAUAUUGGUCAAUGGGCGAGAGCCUGAACCAGCCAAGUCGCGUGAAGGAAGAAGGAUCUAUGGUUCGUAAACUUCUUUUGCAGGGGAAUAAAGUGCAGGACGUGUCCUGUUUUGUAUGUACCCUGAGAAUAAGGAUCGGCUAACGCCGUGCCAGCAGCCGCGGUAAUACGGAGGAUCCGAGCGUUAUCCGGAUUUAUUGGGUUUAAAGGGUGCGUAGGUGGUUUGAUAAGUCAGCGGUGAAAGUUUGCAGCUUAACUGUAAAAAUGCCGUUGAAACUGUAGGACUUGAGUGUAAAUGAGGUAGGCGGAAUGCGUGGUGUAGCGGUGAAAUGCAUAGAUAUCACGCAGAACUCCGAUUGCGAAGGCAGCUUACUAAGCUACAACUGACACUGAAGCACGAAAGCGUGGGGAUCAAACAGGAUUAGAAACCCCAGUAGUCC
rnacentral:rRNA from 1 species